AUAUCAAUAAGCGGAGGAAAAGAAACCAACAGGGAUUGCCUUAGUAACGGCGAGUGAAGCGGCAAAAGCUCAGAUUUGAAAUCUGGUGUCAAAUUGAUACCCGAGUUGUAAUCUGUAGAGGAGUUCUUCGGAGUAUGGCUUUGGUUAAAGUUCCUUGGAAAAGGGCAUCAUAGAGGGUGAGAAUCCUGUUUAUGACCUGUGUCUGUCUCCAUUAUGAAUCUCCUUCAAUGAGUCGAGUUGUUUGGGAAUGCAGCUCUAAAUGGGUGGUAAAUUCCAUCUAAAGCUAAAUAUUGGCAAGAGACCGAUAGCGCACAAGUAGAGUGAUCGAAAGAUGAAAAGAACUCUGAACAGAGAGUUAAAGAGUAC
rnacentral:rRNA from 1 species